GCUUACGGCCAUACCACCCUGAGCAUGCCCGAUCUCGUCUGAUCUCGAAGGCUAAGCAGGGUCGGGGCUGGUUAGUACUUGGAUAGGAGACCGCCUGGGAAUACCAGGUGCUGUAAGCU
ensembl:rRNA 5S_rRNA 5S ribosomal RNA